rnacentral:rRNA from 1 species
UACGUAGGCAGCGAGCGUUGUUCGGAAUUACUGGGCGUAAAGAGUGUGUAGGCGGUGCUCUAAGUUCGGUGUGAAAUCUCCUGGCUCAACUGGGAGGGUGCGCCGGAAACUGGAGUGCUUGAGCGUGGGAGAGGAAAGCGGAAUUCCUGGUGUAGCGGUGAAAUGCGUAGAUAUCAGGAGGAACACCGGUGGCGAAGGCGGGUCUCUGGGCCGAUACUGACGCUGAGGAGCGAAAGCGUGGGGAGCGAACAGG